rnacentral:lncRNA from 1 species
GGAUUUUGGCAAAAGCCAGGGUCCCCCUUGAGGGACUCCGGGCGUGUUCUGCAUUUUUCCAGAAAACGCUUUAAGACGCUUCUGGUCGUUGCCCUGCGUCUCCCUUAGGACGCUGCUUAUGGACAACUGUCUGACUAUCCUGCCCCCCUUAGGAAACGGAUAGGAACCUGGAUACCUCCCUUAGGAAAUUCCUGGCGCACCCUGCAAC